rnacentral:rRNA from 1 species
CCUACGGGUGGCAGCAGUGGGGAAUAUUGCACAAUGGGGGCAACCCUGAUGCAGCGACGCCGCGUGAGUGAUGAAGUACCUCGGUAUGUAAAGUUCUAUCAGCAGGGAAGAAAGUGACAGUACUUGACUACGAAGCACCGGCUAACUACGUGACAGCAGCCGCGGUAAUACGGAGGGGGCAAGCGUUAUCCGGAUUCACUGGGCGUAAGGGGAGCGCAGGCGGCAGGGCAAGUCUGGUGUGAAAACCCCGGGCUCAACCCCGGGACUGCAUUGGAAACUGGCGAGCUGGAGUGUCGGAGAGGGAAGCGGAAUUCCUAGUGUAGCGGUGAAAUGCGUAGAGAUGAGGAGGAACACCAGUGGCGAAGGCGGCUUACUGGACAAAGACUGACGCUGAGGCGCGAAAGCGUGGGUAGCAAACAGGAUUAGAUACCCCAGUAGUC